AAGCUUCUCAAACUGCAACUAGUUUUAUCUAGCUGUGGCUUGGAUAUGGGGGUUUUGUUUUUGCAGGCUUCAAAUAAUGAAGUCUGCUCCCCUGAAAAGUAUUAGUGGUCUCUGAGCAGAGAAAACGGUGUGAUAAACUAUCUAUGCCUUAGUACUUUGCAAAGAACUGCUUCUAACAUAUAUAACUUUGACAA
rnacentral:misc_RNA from 1 species